GAUGAACGCUAGCUACAGGCUUAACACAUGCAAGUCGAACGGCAGCGGGUCCUUCGGGAUGCCGGCGAGUGGCGAACGGGUGAGUAAUGCAUCGGAACGUACCCGGAAGUGGGGGAUAACGUAGCGAAAGUUACGCUAAUACCGCAUAUUUUGUGAGCAGGAAAGCAGGGGAUCGCAAGACCUUGCGCUUUUGGAGCGGCCGAUGUUGGAUUAGCUAGUUGGUGAGGUAAAGGCUCACCAAGGCGACGAUCCGUAGCGGGUUUGAGAGGAUGAUUCGCCCCACUGGGACUGAGACCCGGCCCCGACUCCUACGGGAGGCAGCAGUGGGGAAUUUUGGACAAUGGGCGAAAGCCUGAUCCAGCCAUGCCGCGUGAGUGAAGAAGGCCUUCGGGUUGUAAAGCUCUUUUGGCGGGGAAGAAAUGGCACUUUUUAAUACAGAGUGUUGAUGACGGUACCCGCAUAAGAAGCACCGGCUAACUACGUG
rnacentral:rRNA from 1 species